rnacentral:rRNA from 1 species
GACGAACGCUGGCGGCGUGCUUAACACAUGCAAGUCGAACGAAGAGCGACGGAAGCUUGCUUCUAUCAAUCUUAGUGGCGAACGGGUGAGUAACGCGUAAUCAACCUGCCCUUCAGAGGGGGACAACAGUUGGAAACGACUACUAAUACCGCAUACGAUCUAACCUCGGCAUCGAGGAUAGAUGAAAGGUGGCCUCUACAUGUAAGCUAUCACUGAAGGAGGGGAUUGCGUCUGAUUAGCUAGUUGGAGGGGUAACGGCCCGCCAAGGCGAUGAUCAGUAGCCGGUCUGAGAGGAUGAACGGCCACAUUGGGACUGAGACACGGCCCAGACUCCUACGGGAGGCAGCAGUGGGGAAUCUUCCGCAAUGGACGAAAGUCUGACGGAGCAACGCCGCGUGAGUGAUGACGGCCUUCGGGGUGUAAAGCUCUGUUAAUCGGGACGAAAGGCCUUCUUGCGAAUAGUGAGAAGGAUGGACG